AGCCUUAUAUUCAAAUAUGAUUUUAAAUUGCAAAUUUAAAGGUGAGGAUUCUCUAAGGCUU
rnacentral:tRNA from 1 species